AGUAAAAGUCGUAACAAGGUCUCCGUUGGUGAACCAGCGGAGGGAUCAUUACGAGAGUUGCAAAACUCCCAACCCUUUGUUUACCUACCUGUGGAAUCGUGCUUCGGCAGGCAGCCCCGUGGGACGGAGCCUCGCCUUCUGACGAAGGUGCCUGCCGCUGGCCAAAUACAAAACUCUGUUAUUCAAGUGACGAUCUGAGUCUUAUACAAAUAAAUCAAAACUUUCAACAACGGAUCUCUUGGUUCUGGCAUCGAUGAAGAACGCAGCGAAAUGCGAUAAGUAAUGUGAAUUGCAGAAUUCAGUGAAUCAUCGAAUCUUUGAACGCACAUUGCGCUCGCCAGCAUUCUGGCGAGCAUGCCUGUUCGAGCGUCAUUUCAACCAUCAAGCUCUGCUUGCGUUGGGGAUCCGCGGCUGUCCGCGGUCCCUCAAAAUCAGUGGCGGGCUCGCUAGUCACACCGAGCGUAGUAACUCUACAUCGCUAUGGUCGUGCGGCGGGUUCUUGCCGUAAAACCCCCCAUUUCUAAGGUUGACCUCGGAUCAGGUAGGAAUACCCGCUGAACUUAAGCAUAUCAAUAAGCGGAGGA
rnacentral:rRNA from 1 species